ACUUGGAGAUAGCUGGUUCUCUCCGAAAUAGCUUUAGGGCUAGCCUCAAGUGAUGAUUAUUGGAGGUAGAGCACUGUUUGGACGAGGGGCCCCUCUCGGGUUACCGAAUUCAGACAAACUCCGAAUGCCAAAUAAUUUAACUUGGGAGUCAGAAUGUGGGUGAUAAGGUCCAUAUUCGAAAGGGAAACAGCCCAGACCACCAGCUAAGGUCCCAAAAUAUAUGUUAAGUGGAAAAGGAUGUGGCGUUGCCCAGACAACUAGGAUGUUGGCUUAGAAGCAGCCAUCAUUUAAAGAGUGCGUAAUAGCUCACUAGUCGAGUGACACUGCGCCGAAAAUGUACCGGGGCUAAACAUAU
rnacentral:rRNA from 1 species